rnacentral:rRNA from 1 species
CGGAUAUCUCGGCUCUUGCAUCGAUGAAGAACGUAGCGAAAUGCGAUACUUGGUGUGAAUUGCAGAAUCCCGUGAACCAUCGAGUCUUUGAACGCAAGUUGCGCCCGAAGCCCUUAGGCCGAGGGCACGCCUGCCUGGGUGUCACCAAAAGCCGCCCCCUCCCC